GGGCGUGUAGAUCAGUUGGAAGAUCGCUACCUUGGCAUGGUAGAGGCCCCGAGUUCAAAUCUCGGCACGUCCACCA
rnacentral:tRNA from 9 species